rnacentral:rRNA from 1 species
CGAAGGGGGCUAGCGUUGUUCGGAAUUACUGGGCGUAAAGGGCGCGUAGGCGGCCUUGAUAGUUGGGCGUGAAAGGCCUGGGCUCAACCCGGGAACUGCGUUCAAUACUGUAAGGCUAGAGUGUGGGAGAGGUUGGUGGAAUUCCCAGUGUAGAGGUGAAAUUCGUAGAUAUUGGGAAGAACACCGGUGGCGAAGGCGGCCAACUGGACCACAACUGACACUGAGGCGCGAAAGCGUGGGGAGCAAACAGGAUUAGAUACCCUGGUAGUCCACGCUGUAAACUAUGUGUGCUUGACGUCGGGGGGCCUAGCCCUUCGGUGUCGGAGCUAACGCGGUAAGCACACCGCCUGGGGAGUACGGUCGCAAGAUUA